GAACCUUCGGGGGACGAUAACGGCGUCGAGCGGCGGACGGGUGAGUAAUGCCUAGGAAAUUGCCCUGAUGUGGGGGAUAACCAUUGGAAACGAUGGCUAAUACCGCAUGAUGCCUACGGGCCAAAGAGGGGGACCUUCGGGCCUCUCGCGUCAGGAUAUGCCUAGGUGGGAUUAGCUAGUUGGUGAGGUAAGGGCUCACCAAGGCGACGAUCCCUAGCUGGUCUGAGAGGAUGAUCAGCCACACUGGAACUGAGACACGGUCCAGACUCCUACGGGAGGCAGCAGUGGGG
rnacentral:rRNA from 1 species